ensembl:lncRNA
UUAAAUUUUUUAUUGUUUUUCUUCUUUUUUUAUAGGAAAUCCUGUUGGAGACCACUGCAAAAUAACUGAAUUGGGCAUCUUUUGGGUCACACAGUCAAUUUCCAAAUUUGAAUAAAGACAAUAAACACUACCUUUCUCUGUGUAAGUGGGGACUGAAACUGGGAAACUUGGCUGUCAGAUCAUCAUUCUUCGCUUUGUCAAUGGAGCCUAACUUUACAAGAAGAGGACUGAAAGCAAUUGUACACUGAGCCCAAAGAUAAAGAGAAUGAGCAACUCUUUCCAGACUGGAUCUGUUGCAAGGAGCCAGAGAGAGGCAUGAUGGGAGAAUCUGUCACU